CUUUAAUUACUAUAGCUUUCACAAUCAAAUGAGUAGGGAAGUUGCUUUUCUUCAGUUUUUUAUGGUCUUCAACGACUGAUUAAUCUGUCACGCCGGACUGUCCGUUGCACUGAAGCAAACAGACGGAUUGGCGCUGGACCUCCCAGGCAAACUGGUUCUCGAGCUGCCAGACUCUCAGCCUGCAUGGCCCCGGGUUUUCUCACCAGGGCCAGGGAGGAGCUUGGCCAACGGAUCAGUCUCCUGGUGAGCCAUGUCCGCAUCAUCAGCAGAGGACAAGCAGCUCUACCACUUUGCAGCAGACCUCAUGCUGCCCUGCAUUGCUUACUGGUCUUGCUCCCAUCGCCUGGAGCUGGGUUGCUGACCUGUGAGAGGCGCAUUUCUGUCAUGGCUUACAUUAGCACAGCACUGUACCGGCAAAGCACACAAUCUAUCAGUGCUAGAGAUUUUGUGCCCCGCAGAGAGCCAUAAUGUAUAAAUCAAAAUCAAAUCACCUUGAUUAGAUCAGACGUCAAUGAAAUUGGGCUGCAGUGGUGUUUUUGUUCAAAAUACAUAGAGGUCAGGUGGGUUGGAGAUUCUAAAUUGUUCAUAGGUAUUAAUGUGAGUAUCAGUCUAGACAGGUAGUCUGUGCACGAUGUCUCCCAGUCUCGUGUGCUGGGAUAGGUUGAUGCCCCCUGUGACCCCGAAAAGGAGAAAAGUUAAGUAAUAGAAAAUAUUAGACCAAUUAGAAAAUUCUCAGACCAACAACUUCAACUUGGAAGUGUCAAACAGAAAAAAUAAACAAAUGCAAAACAGAGAUUUUAGCAUUAACAGCAACCUGCAGCAGUAUUACAUCAGUCAUAGCUGCAAAACAUCAUAAAACAAAGUGAGAUUCAUAAUCCAUUAAUAUUUCAUUAUGACUCAAACAUUUCCGGAUGUAACACUUUGAAGAGGUACAUUAGCAAGUGCUCACCAUAAAUACACACCGACAGCACAACAUGUACAGGAGUGUCUGAACAAAAAACAAAAUCAUGUUUUUUUCAUGCUUUAACGAAUAAAAGAACGAGAUGGCAUGCACCCGGCUGGUGUUCUGGAAAUAAAGACUUCACUGACUAUA